rnacentral:rRNA from 1 species
UCCGGUUGAUCCUGCCAGAGGUUACUGCUAUCGGGGUCCGAAUAAGCCAUGCGAGUCGAGAGGGGUAAGCCCUCGGCGCACUGCUCAGUAACACGCGGAUAACUUGCCCUUGGGACUGGGAUAACCCCGGGAAACUGGGACUAAUACCGGAUAGAUCAAAGAAACUGGAAUGUUCUUUGGUCCAAAACUCUGGUGCCCAAGGAUAGGUCUGCGGCCUAUCAGGUAGUAGUGGGUGUAACGUACCUACUAGCCUACGACGGGUAAGGGUUGUGAGAGCAAAGUCCCUGAGAUGGAUUCUGAGACAUGAAUCCAGGCCCUACGGGGUGCAGCAGGCGCGAAAACUUUACACUGCGGGAAACCGCGAUAAGGGGACCCCGAGUGCCAGCACCUAGUGCUGGCUGUCCAGCUGUCCAAAUAACAGUUGUUAGCAAGGGCCGGGCAAGACCGGUGCCAGCCGCCACGGUAACACCGGCGGCCCGAGUGGUAGCCGUUAUUAUUGGGUUUAAAGGGUCCGUAGCCGGCCUAUUAAGUCUCUUGGGAAAUCUGGCGGCUUAACCGUCAGGCGUCCAAGAGAUACUGGUAGGCUUGGGACCGGGAGAGGUGGGAGGUACUCCAGGGGUAGGGGUGAAAUCUCGUAAUCCUUGGGGGACCACCGAUGGCGAAGGCAUCCCACCAGAACGGGUCCGACGGUGAGGGACGAAAGCUGGGGGCACGAACCGGAUUAGAUACCCGGGUAGUCCCAGCUGUAAACGAUGCUCGCUAGGUGUCAGGUGCGGUGCGACCGCAUCUGGUGCCGCAGUGAAAACUUGAAGCGAGUCACCUGGGAAGUACGGUCGCAAGGCUGAAACUUAAAGGA